rnacentral:rRNA from 1 species
UGCAGUCGAACGAGUUCUGAUUAUUGAAAGGUGCUUGCAUCUUGAUUUAAUUUUGAACGAGUGGCGGACGGGUGAGUAACACGUGGGUAACCUGCCCUUAAGUGGGGGAUAACAUUUGGAAACAGAUGCUAAUACCGCAUAAAUCCAAGAACCGCAUGGUUCUUGGCUGAAAGAUGGCGUAAGCUAUCGCUUUUGGAUGGACCCGCGGCGUAUUAGCUAGUUGGUGAGGUAACGGCUCACCAAGGCAAUGAUACGUAGCCGAACUGAGAGGUUGAUCGGCCACAUUGGGACUGAGACACGGCCCAAACUCCUACGGGAGGCAGCAGUAGGGAAUCUUCCACAAUGGACGCAAGUCUGAUGGAGCAACGCCGCGUGAGUGAAGAAGGCUUUCGGGUCGUAAAACUCUGUUGUUGGAGAAGAAUGGUCGGCAGAGUAACUGUUGUCGGCGUGACGGUAUCCAACCAGAAAGCCACGGCUAACUACGUGCCAGCAGCCGCGGUAAUACGUAGGUGGCAAGCGUUAUCCGGAUUUAUUGGGCGUAAAGCGAGCGCAGGCGGUUUUUUAAGUCUGAUGUGAAAGCCCUCGGCUUAACCGAGGAAGUGCAUCGGAAACUGGAAAACUUGAGUGCAGAAGAGGACAGUGGAACUCCAUGUGUAGCGGUGAAAUGCGUAGAUAUAUGGAAGAACACCAGUGGCGAAGGCGGCUGUCUGGUCUGUAACUGACGCUGAGGCUCGAAAGCAUGGGUAGCGAACAGGAUUAGAUACCCUGGUAGUCCAUGCCGUAAACGAUGAAUGCUAGGUGUUGGAGGGUUUCCGCCCUUCAGUGCCGCAGCUAACGCAUUAAGCAUUCCGCCUGGGGAGUACGACCGCAAGGUUGAAACUCAAAGGAAUUGACGGGGGCCCGCACAAGCGGUGGAGCAUGUGGUUUAAUUUCGAAGCAACGCGAANAANNUUACCAGGUCUUGACAUCUUUUGAUCACCUGAGAGAUCNGGUUUCCCCUUU